rnacentral:misc_RNA from 1 species
AACGCACCUUGCGCUCCUUGGUAUUCCGAGGAGCAUGCCUGUUUGAGUGUCAUGAAACUCUCAAACCCAAGUUUUGGAUUUCGAUCCAUGCUUGAGUUUGGAUUUGGAUGUUUGCCGGUGAUGAACCGACUCAUCUUAAAAGUAUUAGCUAGAUCUGUCUCUAUGACUGGUUUGACUUGGCAUAAUAAGUAUUUUGCUGAGGACAUCUUCGGAUGGCCAGGACCUAGACUAUUGUCUGCUAACUAAACCAUCACUUUAAGUGCAUCUUCGGAUGUUACUCAUUGUGUAACUUUGACAUCUGGCCUCAAAUCAGGUAGGACUACCCGCUGAACUUAA